rnacentral:rRNA from 1 species
UACGAAGGGGGCUAGCGUUGUUCGGAAUUACCGGGCGUAAAGCGUAUGCAGGCGGAUCGUUAAGUCGGGGGUGAAAUCCCGAGGCUCAACCUCGGAACUGCCUUCGAUACUGGCGAUCUUGAGUCCGGGAGAGGUGAGUGGAACUCCGAGUGUAGAGGUGAAAUUCGUAGAUAUUCGGAAGAACACCAGUGGCGAAGGCGGCUCACUGGCCCGGUACUGACGCUGAGAUACGAAAGCGUGGGGAGCAAACAGG